rnacentral:rRNA from 1 species
UACGGAGGGGGCUAGCGUUGUUCGGAAUUACUGGGCGUAAAGCGCGCGUAGGCGGCUUUGUAAGUUAGAGGUGAAAGCCCGAAGCUCAACUUCGGAAUUGCCUUUAAGACUGCAUCGCUAGAAUCAUGGAGAGGUGAGUGGAAUUCCGAGUGUAGAGGUGAAAUUCGUAGAUAUUCGGAGGAACACCAGUGGCGAAGGCGGCUCACUGGCUCGGUACUGACGCUGAGGUGCGAAAGCGUGGGGAGCAAACAGG